rnacentral:misc_RNA from 1 species
GUGAAGACCCUGGAAUAGAAAAAUGGCAGGUAGUCAAAGUCAUCUGUUUUAAUUGGUUCCAUUAUUGCUGCUACAGCGUGUCUUGCUGAUUUUCGAGCUGAGUCAACAUGCUCAAGCCUACGUGUUUCAACAAAUAGUUGGACCGGAAAUGCUGCAACAUCUCCUACAGCAUAGACUGAGCUGUUGCUUGUCCGCAUUCUCCCAUUCACUUUGAUCCCACCCUUCUCCAAAGUGAGUUGACCUUCAAAGAGGCUUGUGUUUGGACGUAUUCCAAUUCCUACCACAACCAUGUCUACAGGUAGCCGACUUCCAUCUCUAAGAUUAACAGCUGUGACCUUUCCAUUGGAAUCCAUAUCAAAAGAUGACAAGACAGUUCCCUUGAUGAAUUUUACUCCUUUAGAUUUGUAAUAAUCUUCAUAAUAACUAGCAAUCUUGGGUGUAAACAAUCGGGCCAUGAAAUGUGCUUCAGGGAAAACCAUAGUCACAUUUAUUUUAUUGAUCACCAAAGAAGCAGCACACUCCAUUCCUACAUAGCCACCACCAACGACAACAGCAUUCCCACCAGCACAUGAUUGCAUCAUUAACAAGCCUGUCUGCAUCUGCUAAAUCUCGUAAAUAACAAACAUUUUCAGCAUUUGAUCCAC